AUUGAACGCUGGCGGCAUGCCUUACACAUGCAAGUCGAACGGUAACGCGGGGCAACCUGGCGACGAGUGGCGAACGGGUGAGUAAUGCAUCGGAACGUGCCUGGUAGUGGGGGAUAACUGCUCGAAAGAGCAGCUAAUACCGCAUACGACCUGAGGGUGAAAGGGGGGGAUCGCAAGACCUCUCGCUAUCAGAGCGGCCGAUGUCGGAUUAGCUAGUUGGUGGGGUAAAGGCCCACCAAGGCAACGAUCCGUAGCUGGUCUGAGAGGACGACCAGCCACACUGGGACUGAGACACGGCCCAGACUCCUACGGGAGGCAGCGGUGGGGAAUUUUGGACAAUGGACGCAAGUCUGAUCCAGCCAUGCCGCGUGCGGGAAGAAGGCCUUCGGGUUGUAAACCGCUUUUGUCAGGGAAGAAAUCUUCUGAGUUAAUACCUCGGGAGGAUGACGGUACCUGAAGAAUAAGCACCGGCUAACUACGUGCCAGCAGCCGCGGUAAAAC
rnacentral:rRNA from 1 species